CUUGGUCGUUAAUGGUGGUUAUUUUUUCUCUCCUAAAAGAUUUAAAAAAAAACAACCCCAAAUUAUUCUCCCGGUCCAGAUGGACUUCCUGGAUGUGUGCUUAAGUUCUUCCUUCUAUCUGGAAGGACUCUUUUAUUAUUCCACUCCAUAAAAAGGGUGCGAAGGCAGAUGCCCAAAAUUACAAAGUGUCAGCAUGGCGAAGAUCGACCACCACCAGCCUUCUUGAAUUGACGUCUAUUGGUAUAAAUGGAUUUAUAAAAAAAUAAAGACUGGC